UAGGGAAUCUUCGGCAAUGGGGGGAACCCUGACCGAGCAACGCCGCGUGAGUGAAGAAGGUUUUCGGAUCGUAAAGCUCUGUUGUUAAGGAAGAACGAGUGUGAGAAUGGAAAGUUCAUGCUGUGACGGUACUUAACCAGAAAGGGACGGCUAACUACGUGCCAGCAGCCGCGGUAAUACGUAGGUCCCGAGCGUUGUCCGGAUUUAUUGGGCGUAAAGCGAGCGCAGGCGGUCAAUUAAGUCUGAUGUGAAAGCCCCCGGCUCAACCGGGGAGGGUCAUUGGAAACUGGUUGACUUGAGUGCAGAAGAGGAGAGUGGAAUUCCAUGUGUAGCGGUGAAAUGCGCAGAGAUAUGGAGGAACACCAGUGGCGAAGGCGACUUUCUGGUCUGUAACUGACGCUGAUGUGCGAAAGCGUGGGGAUCAAACAGG
rnacentral:rRNA from 1 species